AUACGGAGGGUCCAAGCGUUGUUCGGAAUUACUGGGCGUAAAGCGAGCGUAGGCGGCUGCGCAAGUCGGAUGUGAAAUCCCAGGGCCCAACCCUGGAACUGCACCCGAAACUGCGUAGCUAGAGUCCCGGAGAGGAUGGCGGAAUUUCCGGUGUAGAGGUGAAAUUCGUAGAUAUCGAAAGGAACACCAGUGGCGAAGGCGGCCAUCUGGACGGUGACUGACGCUGAGUCUCGAAAGCGUGGGGAGCAAACAGGAUUAGAUACCCCGGUAGUCC
rnacentral:rRNA from 1 species